UGGUGCAUGGUUGUCGUCAGCUCGUGUCGUGAGAUGUUGGGUUAAGUCCCGCAACGAGCGCAACCCUCGACCUUAGUUGCCAGCAUUCAGUUGGGCACUCUAAGGUGACUGCCGGCUAAAAAGUCGGAGGAAGGUGGGGAUGACGUCAAAUCAUCAUGCCCCUUAUGACCUGGGCUACACACGUGCUACAAUGGGCGGUACAAAGGGUCGCGAACCCGCGAGGGGGAGCCAAUCCCAAAAAAGCCGCUCUCAGUUCGGAUUGCAGGCUGCAACUCGCCUGCAUGAAGCCGGAAUCGCUAGUAAUCGCGGAUCAGCAUGCCGCGGUGAAUACGUUCCCGGGCCUU
rnacentral:rRNA from 1 species